CAAAUACUCCCUCCGUCCCGAAUUACUUGUCUUAGAUUUGUCUAUAUACGGAUGAUCUGUAUCUAGACAAGUUUUAGUGCUAGAUACAUCCGUAUCUAGACAAAUCUAAGACAAGUAAUUUGAGACGGAGGUAAUAUAUA
rfam:Triticum aestivum genome assembly, contig: Triticum_aestivum_CS42_TGACv1_scaffold_394050_5AS